CCUAUGGGAUGCAGCAGGCGCGAAAACUUUACAAUGCGGGCAACCGUGAUAAGGAAACCCCGAGUGCCACCACAGGGUGGCUGUCCACCAGUGUAAAAAACUGGUGAAGAAAGGGCCGGGCAAGACCGGUGCCAGCCGCCGCGGUAAUACCGGCGGCUCGAGUGGUGGCCGCUUUUACUGGGCUUAAAGGGUCCGUAGCUUGAUUCACAAGUCCCUUGAGAAAUCCAUCGGCUUAACUGAUGGGCGUUCAGGGGAUACUGUGGUUCUAGGGACCGGGAGAGGUGAGAGGUACUGCCGGGGUAGGAGUGAAAUCCUGUAAUCCCGGUGGGACGACCUAUGGCGAAGGCAUCUCACCAGAACGGCUCCGACAGUGAGGGACGAAAGCUGGGGGAGCAAACCGGAUUAGAUACCCGCGUAGUCC
rnacentral:rRNA from 1 species